AGAGUUUGAUCCUGGCUCAGGACGAACGCUGGCGGCGUGCUUAACACAUGCAAGUCGAACGGAAAGGCCCUUCGGGGUACUCGAGUGGCGAACGGGUGAGUAACACGUGGGUGAUCUGCCCUGCACUUUGGGAUAAGCCUGGGAAACUGGGCCUAAUACCGAAUAUGACUGCGCACUUCCUGGUGUGUGGUGGAAAGCUUUUGCGGUGUGGGAUGGGCCCGCGGCCUAUCAGCUUGUUGGUGGGGUAAUGGCCUACCAAGGCGACGACGGGUAGCCGGCCUGAGAGGGUGACCGGCCACACUGGGACUGAGAUACGGCCCAGACUCCUACGGGAGGCAGCAGUGGGGAAUAUUGCACAAUGGGCGCAAGCCUGAUGCAGCGACGCCGCGUGAGGGAUGACGGCCUUCGGGUUGUAAACCUCUUUCAGCACAGACGAAGCGCGAGUGACGGUAUGUGCAGAAGAAGGACCGGCCAACUACGUGCCAGCAGCCGCGGUAAUACGUAGGGUCCGAGCGUUGUCCGGAAUUACUGGGCGUAAAGAGCUCGUAGGUGGUUUGUCGCGUUGUUCGUGAAAACUCACAGCUUAACUGUGGGCGUGCGGGCGAUACGGGCAGACUUGAGUACUGCAGGGGAGACUGGAAUUCCUGGUGUAGCGGUGGAAUGCGCAGAUAUCAGGAGGAACACCGGUGGCGAAGGCGGGUCUCUGGGCAGUAACUGACGCUGAGGAGCGAAAGCAUGGGGAGCGAACAGGAUUAGAUACCCUGGUAGUCCACGCCGUAAACGGUGGGUACUAGGUGUGGGUUUCCUUCCUUGGGAUCCGUGCCGUAGCUAACGCAUUAAGUACCCCGCCUGGGGAGUACGGCCGCAAGGCUAAAACUCAAAGGAAUUGACGGG
rnacentral:rRNA from 1 species